UACGAAGGGGGCUAGCGUUGCUCGGAAUUACUGGGCGUAAAGCGCACGUAGGCGGACAUUUAAGUCAGGGGUGAAAUCCCAGAGCUCAACUCUGGAACUGCCUUUGAUACUGGGGAUCUCGAGUCCGGGAGAGGUGAGUGGAACUCCGAGUGUAGAGGUGAAAUUCGUAGAUAUUCGGAAGAACACCAGUGGCGAAGGCGGCUCACUGGACUGGUAUUGACGCUGAGGUGCGAAAGCGUGGGGAGCAAACAGG
rnacentral:rRNA from 1 species